rnacentral:rRNA from 1 species
AGCUGCGGCAGCGACACUCAGGUGUUGUUGGGUAGGGGAGCGUUCUGUAAGCCUGCGAAGGUGGCCUGUGAGGGUUGCUGGAGGUAUCAGAAGUGCGAAUGCUGACAUAAGUAACGAUAAAGCGGGUGAAAAGCCCGCUCGCCGGAAGACCAAGGGUUCCUGUCCAACGUUAAUCGGGGCAGGGUGAGUCGACCCCUAAGGCGAGGCCGAAAGGCGUAGUCGAUGGGAAACGGGUUAAUAUUCCCGUACUUGGUGUUACUGCGAAGGGGGGACGGAGAAGGCUAUGUUGGCCGGGCGACGGUUGUCCCGGUUUAAGCGUGUAGGUGUGUGUUCCAGGUAAAUCCGGUUCACUUUAACACUGAGGCGUGAUGACGAGGCACUACGGUGCUGAAGCAACAAAUGCCCUGCUUCCAGGAAAAGCCUCUAAGCAUCAGGUAACAUCAAAUCGUACCCCAAACCGACACAGGUGGUCAGGUAGAGAAUACCAAGGCGCUUGAGAGAACUCGGGUGAAGGAACUAGGCAAAAUGGUGCCGUAACUUCGGGAGAAGGCACGCUGACAC